rnacentral:rRNA from 1 species
GACGAACGCUAGCGGCAGGCCUAAUACAUGCAAGUCGAACGGUAAGGUCUCUUCGGAGAUACACGAGUGGCGCACGGGUGCGUAACGCGUAUGCAACCUACCCUUUAGAGGAGAAUAGCCUCGCGAAAGUGAGAAUAAUACUCCAUAUUUACUUUGGUUCGCAUGGACUGAAGUGGAAAGCUCCGGCGCUAAGGGAUGGGCAUGCGUAUCAUUAGUUAGUUGGCGAGGUAACGGCUCACCAAGACAACGAUGAUUAGCUGGUCUGAGAGGAUGAUCAGCCACACGGGCACUGAGACACGGGCCCGACUCCUACGGGAGGCAGCAGUAAGGAAUAUUGGUCAAUGGGGGCAACCCUGAACCAGCCAUGCCGCGUGAAGGAAGACGGUUCUAGUAAUUGUAAACUUCUUUUAUGAGGGAAUAAUUGUGCGCUAUAAGCGCGCUUGUAGGUACCUCAUGAAUAAGCACCGGCUAACUACG